GCAGCAACGCAACUCAAGAUAUUGCAGCAGUUGAUAAUGGCUUCCCUGGAACUACAUGUCAACCGGCGAUGAACGCAACCAGUACUGCACGACCUGUGCUUUACACUUCGUGCCAAGAAGCAAUCCAGGGACGAAUUGCGGAGCUCGAACGUCUACAGGAAGCUACCGCGAGGAAACUGGCGCUCGCUAGGAAGAGGUAUCUUAAAAGCGAAGAAGAAAAGGAAGAAAUCAAGAAAAGGCUCAAAGGACUUUUUAAUGAUGACCAAAUGAGGUCGAUGGAACGAUUGUCCGCGCAGGGAGCGCGAUGGGAAGCAGGCACACUCGUCAAAUCGCUGCAGCUGCGCCUGGCGUGCGGUUCCCGAGGAUACGGACUCCUGAGGGAGUUCGGAUAUCCACUCCCGUCGGACCGUACGCUUCAGCGCCACAUUCAGCACGUCAAGUUUCGACCUGGAUUACUGAGAGAUAUACUGGAGCCUCUAAGGGCGAAGGUAUGGCUUGGGUAAAACGCUUGCAUCACCAAAUUUUCUGUGUCAGCAAAUAGUAGCAAACACAAAUACUGGAU